AUGCUAGCUAAUCCGCAGCACAAGCACGUGCGAUAUCUGUACUAUACUCAACUAGACAUCAGCACAAGUCCAACAUCCUUUCGGAGAUUCCUAUCUUCCUUUGUGCAAACUGUUCCAUUUCCGUGCAAGCGCUAUUCCGAACCCAGCGAGAUCGUGUCACACGAGCAGAAAAAGCACGGAUUCACACAUCCAGAGCCCAAAAAUACUGCACCCGUCUCGUCUCCUCUCCUCUCUCGACCGGUCAAACAAGGAGCAUGCAGCUUCGUCGUAGUGUCCGUUCCAUACACCUCCUCCUCCGUUCACGCUUGA
rnacentral:rRNA from 1 species